CUCCCGCCGAGGCGCGCGCACCAGAAAUUAGCCCCCACUAGCGCCGCCCGGGGCUUCCGCCCCGAGGCCUGACGGUCGCCGUUCGGUUCCGGUUCUAACCCCGCCCUCACGCGGUAACCCUCCAGAAGUCUUAAUAUCCGGGACCAGAGGCUGGCGCCAGCGCGCACUUCCGGCGACGGACGCAGAGGAAAGAAUCUGGUGACGCUUCUUCCCUUGUACCGUGCCGCCCAGGCUCCGGCUCUCGGUGCGGCAGCGCCAUCUGGUGCUGAGUCUCUCGCUGCCCGCAGAGGGGGCGCGCGCCCUUCUCCCGGAAUCUUCCAGAGAAAAUGUGGCCUGGGCUUUCGUCACUCGCCCUCGGAAAAGGAGAGACCCGAGCUUUCGCCCUGCCGAGUUCUCACGCAGGAGGGACACAGGAAGAAGACAACCUUCUAUGAACGUGGAAGAGAACCAAAGCUGCUGGUGCCUUGAUCUUGGACUUCCAGCCUCCAGAACUGCUGCUCUCACUUUCAUUUCUGUGGAACCUGCAAAGGAGAGCUGUGGAAGCUCAUAUUAUCAAGGGCCAGAACCCCCAUGCCUCAUGAAAAUUAUUUGUCAAAGUAACCUGGGAGAAGUGAGAAAUUUGCCAGGCAGAUUCUUUACCACUGAGCCGUCAGGGAAACCCAGUCUGAACUGAGAUAUGCAGCAAAUGUACACACUGGAUUUUGAAGACUUAGUCUAAAACAAUUAGACAAUUGUCAUGUUGCAGCUCAGGAGAUAGUGGAAGAUUGAAAGUAAAGAAACUGGAAAAUUAUUGUUGCCCUGAAGAUCACUUCUAUUUGUUGCAUCAUGAUAAAGAUCAUGUUUUCACCAGGAUUUCCUGAAGAACUGGACAAGCUGAUUUUGCAGUCUUAUGGAAGAGUAAAAGGUCAACAAAAGCCAGGAAAAUCUGGAAGAAAGAAAAGUAGGGGAAGGAAAAAAAGGAAGAUAAAGAUAAAAAUUACUUUUACUAAGACUUUUAACAAAAUUAUUGUAGUUUUAAAAGUAGUUUUAAAAGAGAUAGAAAAAGUGAUCAUUGAGAGCAUGAAGACAUUAAAAACAUACCCUAGAGUAAACUUGGGAUAUGACAGGCAAUGUUGUAAAUCAGUGGGAAAAGGGUAGAAUUUUUAACAAAUCGUGUGGGCCAAUUGAUUACAUAUGGAAAAAAAUAACAUUAAACUUCUUUUUCAUGACAUACAGAUUCACAUUCCCAAGUGGCUUAAAGACAAAAAAAAAAAUUAGGAAAAACGUGGAAGAUGUAUAUACUCAAAGACUUAGGUUCAUGGGAGUAGAGGGUGUAAUAAAUAUGUUAAUAAUUUAAAGAGAGAAAAUGUAGAAGAAAUUUCAGUAUGUAAACCUAGAGUUCUUUUUUUUAUAAAAUCACAAAAUACCAGUAAAUUAUAGAGAAAAAGAUUAAUACAUCUAACUACUUUAGAAAACAAAUUUAAACUACAUUAAAAGUUAAGAGAAACCGUAAAUAAAAUGAAAAGGAAAGUCACAGACUGGAAAAAUCUAUGGGAACCACUUAUAAACCCCAAAUUUAUAAAACAUGUCUACAAGGAAUUCUCUGGCUCUCUAUUAGUUAAGACUCCACCUUCCACUGCAGGGGAAUGAUGGGUUUGAUCCCUGUUCAGGGAACUAAGGUGUCACAUUCCAACUGGCAUGACCAAAAAAAAUUUUUUUAGUACGAAUAUAAUUCUUGUAAACUCUUAUAAUACAUCUUAAUGAAAAAUUAGAACUUAAACAUUCAACUAUUAAAAAAAAAAAAGAGAGAGCUACAAUAACACAGUAGAAAUGUAGCUAAGGGGCUUCCCAGGUGGCGCUAGUGGUAAAGAAUCUGCCUAAUAAAGCAGGAGACAUAGGAAAUGGGGGUUGGAUCCCUGGGUGGGGAAGAUGCCCUGGAGGAGAGCAUGGCAACCCACUCCAUUAUUCUUGCCUAGAGAAUCCCAUGGACAGAGGAGCCUAUUGAGCUACAGUCCUUAGGGUCACAUAGAGUCGGACGUGACUGAAGCAAUUUAGCAUACAGGCAGUGUAGCUAAAAGCUUAUGAAGAGGCAGUUUAAAGGCAAGAAACACACAUGAGCAAUUGCAUAUGAAAAAUGAAAAUACACUCAACUUCACUAGUUGAGCUCAAGUUUACUAGUUACCAGGAAAUUGAAAAAUAAAACAGUGAGCUGCCAUUUGAGGCUAUCAGAUUAGCAAAACAUAAUCAAUCUAUUGACAUCAAGUUUUGGUAAAUACACAUUUCUGGAGGGCUUGUAAAUUAGUACAACUUCUUAGAAAACAAUUCUGCUAUCAUUUGAUUAAGUUAACUAUGGUUCAGCAAAUGUACUUCUAAUUUAUUGAGUGUUUACUUAAAUAAAUACUAGAUAUACAUGCUAGAAUCAAUGCAUAGCAGGUUGAUUGUAUUCUUUGUGAUAAAGUGGGGAAAAUGCAUGCCCUUGAAUAGAAGGCUAGAUUUAUUUUUUUAAUAUGAAGUAAUAUUAAAUAAUCUUAAGGCUAAAUUUACCAGUACUUGGAAUAAUAAACUUCAAAAACAUUAGUUUCAGUGCAAAAGUUAAUCUUAAAAAAUAACUGUAUUAUUCAUGUAAGUUUAAAAAACACACAAGAUCAUUUUUAUAUACAAUUUUAUGAAUAAAAACGUGAUAAAAGUCCUAAAAACCACGUGGGAACAAUCCAUGUUAACUUCAGGUGGUACCUCCUAGGUAGGAAAGGAUGAAGAUGGAGAUUUACUGUAUCUUAAAAUUAUGUUUCUUUUAAAAAACAAAACGGAAUAAAACAUCUCUUUCAAAUAAUAGUAACACAUAGAAAUCUUGGGUGAUGAUUACAUUAGUGUCAUAUGAUUCACUGUAUAGUUUGGCUAUAUUGUUCAUUUGAAACAGAAUUAUUCAUUUGAUUUUGGUUCCUAAAAAGAAACAGGGAGUGAAAAAUCAUUUACACUCAAGGACAUAGCCCUCAUCAGUUCUGCUGAGCCUGGACUGAGCUCAGGUUUUUCACCAGAGGACCAGCCUGAGCCUGGCCAUUGGCUGAUGAUGUCUGUCAGGAAGCUGCAUGGAGAGGGCCUACUGAGCGGACCACUGAGCCCUCUGCCUCUGCCCCUGGCAGCUGAGCUCUGCCCUUCUCCUCUGGGGAGCCCUGGAAGGCCUGAUACCAGAGUGAGUGAGAGGACCCAGCGGUGGCACAAAGAUUCGUGGCCAGAUACCAGGACACACAGGAAGUUACAAGAGAAAAGCUUUCUGUUUCAGCUCCACCCGUCGACCUUUGGUGGGUGAGUUUUCAGUAAAACAGCAACGUCUUCUGAAUGCUCGGAGGAAAGGCUUUAUAACCUGGGGGUAAGAGGCAGCUUCUAAAUACAAUUGAUGUGGCUUUCUUGCCUUCGUUCAGGCUAUCCAUUUUCCACCACAUAAUCUUCCCAUUGUCCACACUGAUUCCUGUUUUUUUUGGCAGGGUUAACUGCUGGCAGGCCUCCUCCGUGCUGAGCUCCUCAUCCUCCACUGUGCAGGGGUUACUGAAGCAAGAGCAAGCUUUCCCUCACUCCCCGGAACAGGAGCCAAGUGUGACACAAAUUGUGAAACUUGUUUCUGGUUACCAGAAAAACUUAAAGAAAUCCUCAUCAAGCAAAAAGUUGACAAAAAUCUUUCCAACAUUUGAACAAAAAAGGUAUUUUUCAGGUGUUAGAUUUAUGGAAGUCAGUUCUCCAAACCCAGCCAGACUUUCAAACCUCCUAUUCUUUGCACUAUGUUAUUUAAAUACACUGUAAAUACCCUCCGUUGCUCUAAUACCAGGUCCAUAUUGUGCAAGACGACCAUGGUCUGAAGACCUUGUUGAAUUUGAAAGAGGCAGAAGUUCCGUUUCUGGCGCAUAAACUUGAAUCAGGACUAGGGUAAGAGUGCCAAAGAAGUCCACACUCUGACAGCUAGACAAGCAGGCCAUUUAUUUUGAAAGACUUUGAAUCCCUUCCCAGAGCAAAAUGCAGCCCUUUAUACUCAGUAGGCUUGGAAUAAAAUCAUCUUAACUGAC